CUUGGAGUUCUUGAGAACUUCCGGGUUCUAGAACACUUGGAACUUGCUCUGGCCUUUUGGACGAGCAUCUAGCCUUAGAUGGUGGUGGGUUUACUCCUCCAACCUCCUAAAAUUGCACGGCCAGGGUCAUGUGGCCCCUCCCGUCCCCGGGAGCCACAGAAGGGCUCUAGGUGGUGGUCUGUGCGGAUGUUAGUGAGAGCCCCGAUUAGGGCCUGACUGGUUUCACGAUCUAAUGACCAUGUGUGAGCUUGUGCUUUCCAACUCGCCGCAGGGACAAUGGGUCCCGGACCAAACGCUAUGCGGAGGUGAAGUUUGGGGCGUUCGCUCUGCCGCUGGAUUCGGAAGAACCGAACCUGGGGUCCAGCUCUGGCUUCUGUAUCUGUGUCUCUGAGCCGCGCGGGUCUUCAGGGCCGAGGCCAGGCCGGAGUGGGCUUGGCCAAGGGACGGGAUCUGCGGGUCUUUGGAGGAUCCUGGCUUUGUCCGCGGGGACUGGCGGAUCAGGAGGCGGCAAUCUCCAGUCUCAUUCUCGGGAUUCUGCACUUGGAUUCUAUUUGGGGUGAAAUUUCUAAGCUGGGGUCCACCUCGCGAGCUCUCUGACUUCCUUUUCCCGGAGGACGGUGGUCCCUGGUCAUUCACGCCGAACGCUUGGCCUCAGGGCUGGGGUCUGACCUACCCUGAGCCUGUAGGAACUUUCUCUUCCGUCCCCGCCGUGCCGCAUCUCCCUCGGUUUACGAACUCUGAACUCUUCCGGGCAUCACUAAAAGAAUCGGUUUUAUGGACGUAGUGUGUCGAUGAAGGUAUCCAAAGACAUGAACGCCGCUCGUUCCCGCGGUGGCUCGUUGGUCUAGGGGUAUGAUUCUCGCUUUGGGUGCGAGAGGUCCCGGGUUCAAAUCCCGGACGAGCCCUGAUGCACUUUUAGUUUUUACUCACAGCGUGAAGGCUUUGGACUUCAGCGAAAAGCUAGAUCUAGAUCCAAGGACAGAGUCGAAGGCAUAGCUCUUGUCCCCACAUCUGUUCUGCCGGAUAUGUCUGGUCCGACGCAGCCAUGGGGUCUAGGUGCAGCUGAAGGACAAAUGGCAUGCGCCCUGGACUGGAGCAGAGAACAAGGACAAAUCCCUCCCAGCCAUCUCUGUCUCCGCAGAUGUCUGGGUGUCGUGUACCAGGCCUCCCUGCUCUAGGCGCGUUGUUUUUCUUCGGUUAGGAGCGGAAGGCGGAGGAGCUGACUUCAGGGUAGUUCUUCAGAGACCAGCUAUCCAGUAAAAGGCGCUGGUGCGAG
rnacentral:tRNA from 1 species